rnacentral:rRNA from 1 species
AAUAGCCUUUAGAAAUGAAGAUUAAUGCCUCAUAGUAUUGUAGACUGGCAUCAGUUUAUAAUUAAAGAUUUAUCGGUAAAAGAUGGCUAUGCGUCCUAUUAGUUAGUUGGUAAGGUAACGGCUUACCAAGACAGCGAUAGGUAGGGGUCCUGAGAGGGAGAUCCCCCACACUGGUACUGAGACACGGACCAGACUCCUACGGGAGGCAGCAGUGAGGAAUAUUGGACAAUGGAGGAGACUCUGAUCCAGCCAUGCCGCGUGUAGGAAGAAUGCCCUAUGGGUUGUAAACUACUUUUAUACAGGAAGAAACACUGGUAUGUAUACCAGCUUGACGGUACUGUAAGAAUAAGGACCGG